rnacentral:rRNA from 1 species
ACCAGACUCCUACGGGAGGCAGCAGUGGGGAAUAUUGCACGAUGGGGGAAACCCUGAUGCAGCGACGCCGCGUGAGUGAAGAAGUAUCUCGGUACGUAAAGCUCUCUCAGCAGGGAAGAAAAAAAGUCUUUGGCUUUGGACGGUACCUGACUAAGAAGCCCCGGCUAACUACGUGCCAGCAGCCGCGGUAAUACGUAGGGGGCAAGCGUUAUCCGGAUUUACUGGGUGUAAAGGGAGCGUAGACGGCAGCGCAAGUCUGGAGUGAAAUGCCGGGGCUCAACCCCGGAACUGCUUUGGAAACUGUGCAGCUAGAGUGCGGGAGAGGUAAGCGGAAUUCCUAGUGUAGCGGUGAAAUGCGUAGAUAUUAGGAGGAACACCAGUGGCGAAGGCGGCCUUCUGGGCCACGACUGACGCUGAGGCGCGAAAGCUAGGGGAGCGAACAGGAUUAGAUACCCUAGUAC